rnacentral:snRNA from 13 species
AGGGGAGACACCAUGAUCAGGCAGGUGGUUUUCCCAGGGCAAGGCUCAUCCCCUGCACUCCAGGUGUGCAGACCCGUGCAAUUUCCCCAAAUGCGGGAAACUCAAUU